GCCCUUUUAUUUUAAAGCCAAUUGGGCCUUUUUAAAAGGCCGCAACCCAACAAACCCUAGGCCACUUGAGCCUUAGAGGAGGGGGAUUUAGUUUUCAGAAACUACUUUGCCAUUCUGCAGAAUCUCACUCUCUCUCUAAGAACCCUAACCCUAAUUCCUCUGCCUUCUCUCUACCAUUUCAGAAAAUUGAGCCAACCAAUCUCUAAUUUCUUGCUGCCAAAUUACUCCUGGUGCGAAGAGCUUCAAAUCCCACCGAAUAUUUCUUCGUUUCGUUCGGUAAGUAAAUUUUCCCUCUUCUCCUUCUUCACUGUUCAUGUUCAAGAUUUUAUCUUUUUCUGAUUCCUGAACUCUAUGCGGUUUUUGUCUUUUCGUUCUCAUUUUUAUUCUAGCUCAAAAAGGGCUAAAAUCCAUCACUCGUUCGAUUAUCUGUAAGUUCCUCUGUGUCCUAACUGAUAGGGGCACUCUAAAAGCUUGGGUUGAGCUUGCUGCUGUUUAUUUCCAGGUAAGGGAAGCUAACUAUAUAAGUAUUUUGUUGUUCUGAUUAAUUCCUGGAUUUAUGAGAAAAUAUGUGGAAUUGCGUUUGUACACUGUUUAACUCUGUUUUAAUGCUCUAUGCAUGUUAAAUUUAACUGUGAUAUAUUAUUUGAUAUUUAAUUGUCUCUGUUUUAAGUAUUUGGUCUUGGAAUGUUCUGAACCUUUGGUUCAUUCUCUAUGUUUGAUUGUGAUUGUUAUAAUNUGUCUGGAAUUGUGUUGCUGAACUGAAUUUCAUUGAAUUGAUGAUCCUGGAAAUGAUUCCUGUUUGUAUAUUGGUUAUGAUGUGCUCUNAAGGAAAUUGAUGAAUCUGGUUGNUNGANUAAGUUGGGGGUGAUACUGAUUUGAUGGGAAAUUAUGGGUUGAGUGUAGCCUCAGGUUUUGUGAGAGGGAUGUAUAACUUUGGGAAUUAGGAAAAAAAAAUAAUAGGAUAGUUGAUUAAAUCAAAUAAAAAUACUUGGGACUUGUUGGGAACCUUCUCUGUUGGUAGGAUAGAGAGAACCUAAAAACCAGAAUCGCACAUCCUUGAUCAUAGAGCAGCCCUGGCCUGGUCCAGUCAAUUGUGACUAGUCAUAUGUGUUGGUGUCGAAGGUGAGUCUGAUGCGUUAGACAUUUGUUCUCUCUCCGGUGACCAAUUGGGGUACGAGAAGGAUUGGGAAAAAUAUAGAGUUCUUANGCUAGUUAUAUAACCAGCAAGGAAAUUGGGUAGUGAAGUGAGGUUAGGAGCAAUCAUUCUAUAAAAAUGAAUAAUUUAACAAGUAAUUUCAUAAUUAAGGAAACAUUGUAAAUUAUUUUGAGAUAAUAUGUAUCAUAAUAUAUUAUAUUAUUGAUAUAUAG
rnacentral:lncRNA from 1 species